rnacentral:lncRNA from 1 species
CGGGAGGCUGAGGGCUGUGAUAAAGAUCAAGUGCCCACAGCCCUCCCGUCUCUUCCACCCCACCCGGGGCUGCCUCCUGAAGCCUGGCCUCAGUGCAGGAUCCAAAUUCCCAGCAAAGCACAAACAACCAUGGCAAGAAACUGCCUGGAGUGCCUUCUGUCACCUUGUCACCAAGAUCAGCAGUCAGCACUUCUGAAUGCGUCUCGUCUACACCAUGUGCUAUAUAGGCACCUCUACAUACCGUCCAUUCUCAUUACUUAGGGUACUUAUACCCUACAAAAUCACUGCAAACCUCGAACCUCUGCUUAAGACCUUUCACCUGGAGAAGACUCUACCAGAGAAGAUCAUCCCGCCUCAGUCAAUCUUUUAUUCUGUAUCUAUUUGCCAUACAUAAAUGGACUCGUUCAACUACUACUGUGGGCUGGUGCAUUCUCUUUAACUUAUCUGGGGGUGCUUAUGGGGAUGGG